GGCAAGAGGCUCCCCCCAACUCCCAGCCUGGGCUCUCAGUUUCCAUGGAAACCACAGACUUUCUGAUGGCAAGAGAGGAAAAUGAGUGUGAGGGUGGGUUCUUUCUGGCCAGGGCUGCACAGACCUCACACUGACCUUGACCUCAUCAGCCCAGCAACCCCUGCCCUGAAACCCAGCCAGGCAGAUACCCACCCACACCUACCUUCUGCCUCACUGCCCUCACACACUCUCAGACUAAGAAGUCAGGCAGAUUCCUCCCAGGGUUGCCUGGUGGGGAUUUACCCCAUCAGCCUGGCGUCAACUCGGGAUCCUCUGUGCCCCCCCACUGCACCCCGAAAUGGCCCUUCCUGUGUCUAAGAGGCUUCUGGGGAGAAAGACCAAAGGAGUAUCGGUCUGCUGGAAAUUAAGGCCGAACUAAGAAUCCCCACCCGUCUCGGGCCAUUAGGUCUCCUAGGGGAGCAGGACCUUAAGAGACACGGUUCCAUCUGGGGGGCCGGCUUUGGCCUCCCCCACGUGCAUCACGACCGAGCAGCCUGUGAAGAGAAGCCCCCUGCCCACCUGGCAGUUCCUGACCUGAAACUUCCCCAGACCUGCCUGAACAGAAACCGCCCCGUUUCCCAGCCAGCGCAGCCUCUGCUGGUCUCGCUGCACCCUCCUUCAGCCCCAGGAGGAGCCCCGCAGGACGCUCUCGCAAUAGAAGCAUCCACUCAGCCCCGGGCCUGCGUCGUGGGGUGUGUCCGGCACCAGGAAAGUUUUCUGCACUUUCUGGGUUCCCCGCCUGAGGCAGUGGGAAUCAGGGAGGGGCUUGGAGACCUGUGAGCAGGAAGUGACUUUAGAUAUCAAAUCGUGGAAUCAUCGCGGGGCCGCCCGCCAGCUCAGCUCCCGGAGGGCGGGGCGGGCAGUGUGAUGAGAAGGGGUUCGGACAGGCUCCCGCGGCUACUGUGCAGCCUCCGUGGGCAACAGCCUCUCUGAGCCUCGGUUUCCACGUCUGUAAAAGGAGGAUGACGUAGACCUGACUGUGUUGGAGGGGAGGCCGUGGCUCGUGCUGAGUAACGUCUGCUUCCUUACGGCCCCUCGGCCCGACUCCAUGCAGGCAGCUUGCAGGUUCCGCCAUCGAAUGCGGACGGAACCCAGCAACGCCGGGCACGUGCUUUCCUGGAGCCCCGGCCCGCGAGCGCGGCCGGCGGUCAGGACCACAGGCCUUCCAGGUGCUCAGCGGGGCCGGCGGCUGCCAGUGUCCUGUUUGUCCACGUGGACGACAAGCCCCAGCGGGCGUGCGUGCUGGACACGAGGAGGGGCCUGGCGCAGCUGUCCUCACCGUCGGCCCCCCGUCACCUCCGGGAGCUGCAGCUCCUCUACAGAUGGUGGGGGACCCCCGGCUGGUGCCCGGAAGGCGGCCCGCAGCCCUUAGGCUGCCAGGUUCCGCAGUGGACGGAAAGGGCUGCGCUGAACCCACCCCCAUCUCAGCAGGACGCCUUAGUCACAGCUCCGCCACGCCCCGAUCCCCAGCCACCCCCUUCCUGGGCAUCCCCUCAAAUCUUUUCCCUUUAAAUUUUUCCUAAAGAAUAAUAUCCCUCGACCGUUUCCCGCAGCAGAGAAGGAGUUCAUGGCCCGUGGAAGGGGCAUCCUGAGGCUGCAGGUAGUGACGAUGGCUCUGUCGCCAGCUUGCUGGUGACCCUGAGGACCUCGCACGGCCUCCUGGGGUGGCUCCCUGAUUCAUUCCAGGUGGCGGCAGCCAGGGGUGUGCGUGAAGCAGUGGCCUUGGGCGCGGGGCAGGGAGGGGACCCGGGAGCUGGGCGGUGCCCUGCAGGGAGGGCCGGGUGAAGGGUUUACAGAGGGGCGACUGGGGUGACGAGACAGUGAGGUCACGCCGUGCCAGGUGGGUCGGGGCUGGGGCAGGAGGCUGCGGCUGAGUCAGCAUGCUGGACGAGGAGCGGACGGGCCCGAAGGGCUGCGAGACGCGGGGAGGGGCUCUGCGGUCGAGUCCCGGCCGCCCAGACCUGGCUGGUCGCGUCUGUGUGGUGCGUGCGCGGCCGCAGCCUGAGCCAUGGCCGGCCUCGGCGCGCACUCCCGUCGCCACCCGCCUGCGUGACACGCCUCAUCCCACAGUGUUCAGGUGGAUAAACUGAGGCAGGAGCCGCCCGAGGCCGAGGGGGGAGGAAGGUGGGGCUGUAACUCCCCCUGCUUGUCCAUUCAUUCGUUCACAUCCGGCGCUGUGGUUGGCUGGUUCCUGGCGGCAGCCGUGCGCUGAUGCUUUCUGAGUUCCUCUUCUGACCCUUCCUGGCCUCCCCCAUCGUGCUCCACCCGCUCCAGGCCCUACCACAUCCUUGCUGCGCCGCCCCGGCCGCAGCCACACACUGGUGCCUUUGUGCCGUUUAUCUUGCGAGACCGGGGGCAUCAAAUAGCCUCUUUCCCUUUCUCUGCCCCGGAGAGCAGGGGUCUCCCACGUGUCGUGACUGAGCACAGCCCAGCUGUCUAAACCGAGGACGGGAUUGAAGGCAGCAGGCCUGGGGGUGGAGGACAGGCCACAGCAAGCCCCCCUCCGCCCCAUCCCGCCAACGCCCAGGGUCUCGGAGCUCACAGGCGUCAGAGGGGAAGUGAUGUUCCCCCGUUCCAAUCUCUUUUUCCUGUUUUACUAGUUGAAUCUUGAGGCUGGACAGGACCGGAAAACUUGAAAUGUUCACUUCUGCUUUUAAAAUGGAAAACCCAACAGAAACCAUUGUCCAGCGAACUCCCAGCCAAUAAGAGAGCAGAGCCAGGGGCCUGGGCCCAAGUCCCCGCCUGGCCACCAACAGGCUGAGUGGACGCGGUCAGGUCACUGCAUCUUUCACGGCCUUGGUUUCCACACUUGUAAAUUAGUCGGGGUGGAGGACGUUUCUCCAAGGCUUCUCUGGUUUUCAACAUGAUGAUGUUGAGUCCCAGAAACAUUACUGUGAGCAAGUAAUAUGGUUGUAAAGUCAAUUACCAAAAAAAGGGGCAACUAUUCUGAUUUUUUUUUAAUGCGUUUUAUUUUUGAAGGUGAUUUGGAAAAUGCAGUUGUCCCAAAGGGGAGGAGUAUUUUCUUGUGCCAUAAAAGGGAUCGGGGCUGGUGUGGUUUAAACUCAUAUUUAUAUUUCAGGUCGAAUUGGAAACUCGCUUCCCCCUUUAAGCACUGGAGGGAAUUAGUCACACUUCCUUGUGGAAGUGGAGGACAGAUCCUCUGUGCUACUCAAAGCGUCCUUCAAAAAGUUCUGGGAACAAGCACUGCUGUGUGUAUCUGUGAGAGAGAGACAGAGACGGAGAGACAGAGAGAAAUGGAGAGGCAGAGAGAGGGACAGAGAGAGAGGCUGGAGAGGGAGAAGGUGUGUGGAUGGGGAAGAAGCAACAAAAUGGUUCGGACACAGGCACUGACCUGAAGGGUUUGAUCACCAGCAGGAGGGCCUAACACGCCGACAAAUAUAACAAAAAUACAGAGUAGACUGGGGCUACAAACAAAGGGUCCUGGGGAGAAUAAUGGAAAGGGUGGUUAAUUCUUGCUGGAAGGAUCCAUGGAAGACUUCCCGGAGGAGGUGGCAUCGGCAUGCUGUCUAGGGUGGAAUACCUGGACUCGAAGGAAACAUCUAGAAGAGCAGUGUGGGGAUCCGGGCCUGCAUAUGAAAUGAGACCAAAAGGGAAGACUUGUGGACACUUUCAGGCCAGAUCAGCCCCCAAAUGAUGGCCUCUGGGAGGACCUUCUGUUGCUAGGGAGGCCUGAUGGAGUAGUGAUCCUAGGGUGGGUCCUAGGGUCUGCCCUCCUGGGAGCAAAUCCUGCCAUUCCUCCUGCCGGCUGUGUGACCUUGGGAAUUGAUCUCACUUCUCAGCACUUUAGUUUCCUCUCCUGUAAAAGGCUCAGUAAGACCUCCUGUCCCAUAAGAUGCUGUGAGGACCAUGAGAGGUUGAGCUCAUCCAGAGUCUAGAAUAGUGCCUGCUGCACACACGCUAGUGAGCACCACUGACGUCCUGUGACUCGUCCAUCUCACCUUCCCCAUGGAUACCCUGAAACACGCUGUGUGGUCUCAGCCCAAUUUCCGUUUAUAAAACAACCGGCACGGCAUCCACCGGAGGAGCCUGUGUAGCCAGAGAGCAGCCUGAGGGCGAAACCAGAACCUUCCCUUGGAGCCUUUCUGGAGGUGGGAGCAGGCUGAGUCACGGCUCCCUGAAUCUGUGCCAGGGCCACACGAGACGCUUCUCCACGUCACCCGGGCCUUCAGUCCUGCCAAGGCCAUCAGAAAAGCACCGCCGGGCCUCGUUUCCUGCUGUGAAGCUGUUGGUAGAGCAUCCUCAAAAGAGCCUUUCCGAUGGACCUUCCUUCCUGAAGGUCUAGUCCUGCUUGGUUCACGACCAUCACAAAAGAGGCUCAAAGCGCCAAAGCUUCCUGAAAGAGGCGAUUCCUUUUCUCCGGAGCUAUCCAGGAGAAGCGUGGAAGAUCUAACGGCUAAGAGCUGAGUAACCUGGAACUCAGGGAGCAUGGUCAUGGGAGCGCCACUGGGCAACUUAAAAGAGAAAACCACCAUCCACUCCCUGCAGGGGCUGCCCCCAAAGCCUGUGCUGUUCUGUCUG